rnacentral:rRNA from 1 species
CCUGCGGAGGAUCAUUAUUGAAUAAAUGUUUGAUAGGCUGUUGCUGGCUUCCCUGAAGUAUGUGCACGCUUGUCAUAUUUAUCUUUCCACCUGUGCACAUUUUGUAGACCCUAGAAGAGAUUUAAUCUUCUGUGAAGAUGAGGAUAGGAUUGCUGCGACUUUUUGAAGGGCCAGCUUUACCUUGCAUAUCUAGGCCUCUAUGUCACUUCAUGUAACUCCUAUGAAUGUAAUGGAAUGUUGAUCUGGGUCUUUGUUUUUUUGACCCUAUAAAGUUGUAUACAACUUUCAGCAACGGAUCUCUUGGCUCUCGCAUCGAUGAAGAACGCAGCGAAAUGCGAUAAGUAAUGUGAAUUGCAGAAUUCAGUGAAUCAUCGAAUCUUUGAACGCAUCUUGCGCUCCUUGGUAUUCCGAGGAGCAUGCCUGUUUGAGUGUCAUUAAAUUCUCAACUACACUGACUUUGUUUAGUGUGGCUUGGAUUUGGGUGUUUUUGCGGGCUUUGUAAAAUGAAGUCAGCUCUCCUGAAAUUUAUUAGCAGGUGGUUUACCUUGGUAGAACUGUCUACAGGUGUGAUAAUCUAUCUACGCCUUUUAGAUGUCUGCAUAGGAUACUGCUUCUAAUUUUUUAUGAUAAACUUGACCUCAAAUCAGGUAGGACUACCCGCUGAACUUAAGCAUAUCAA